UACAGAGGGGGCCAGCGUUAUUCGGAAUUAUUGGGCGUAAAGCGCGUGUAGGCGGCUUGGCAAGUCAGAUGUGAAAGCCCUCGGCUUAACCGAGGAAGUGCGUCUGAAACUGCUGAGCUUGAGUGUCGGAGAGGAUGGCGGAAUUCCGCAAGUAGAGGUGAAGUUCGUAGAUAUGCGGAGGAACACCGGUGGCGAAGGCGGCCAUCUGGACGACUACUGACGCUGAGACGCGAAAGCGUGGGGAGCAAACAGG
rnacentral:rRNA from 1 species